ACGCAAGUAUAUCGACGCGACGACUUCGGUAUACCGUGCACCAUGUGACCAAACUAUGACCAAAUGAAUGUACAUACACUCUUGCAAGCACACGUGCACUUUAGAGCCGUCAUCAGGCAAGGGCCAGCUCCGUUCUUAUAGUGAAAAACGUUAAUUCGGCAUGGUGUUAGUAUUUAAUAACAAAUUUGCUUGCUUACAACACGAGUCUAUUUGAAUGGAAAUUUGGUAGCUCUAGCCUUUCAUCCGGACGGAUAGAAGGGCGGACGGAUCACAUAGGCUGUUGCAGCUGAUUAACAAUAUACUUAGUGUGGUCGGAAAAGUUUCAGAAGGAUAAAAUUUGACCAAAUGUUUGAAGUAACUCUACCAACUCACGCAAAAGAACUUGAAAUCGCGCUCAUACCGGGGAGAGGGGAACAUUUUAAAUAAACUUUAUCAUCGUACAUACCACACGAUUUUUCAUACCAAAUUUAAUGACUCAAGAUCUUAUGUUUUCCGGGAUCCAAAGACGAACAUGGCUAAAUCGACUGGACUAUUUCUGCAGUUAUGUUACCAACUGAAUUCUAUAUCAAAAAAUUAUAAUCUAGUUUUAACGUAAAAAAUAUUUGUAAAUGAAUGUUUUACAUAUGUGUGAGUUUUUUAAUUUAUAAUAAAUGGAUUUAGUGCUUCA